GAGACACGGCCCCCACUCCUACGGGAGGCAGCAGCAGGGAAUCUUGCACAAUGGGCGAAAGCCUGAUGCAGCGACGCCGCGUGAGGGAUGAAGGUUUUCGGAUCGUAAACCUCUUUUCUUAGGGAAUAGAUUGGAAGGUACCUAAGGAAUAAGUCACGGCUAACUACGUGCCAGCAGCCGCGGUAAUACGUAGGUGGCAAAUGUUGUCCGGAAUCAUUGGGCGUAAAGGGUCCGUAGGUGGCUUGAAAAGUCUUAUGUGAAAUCUCUUGGCUCAACCAAGAAACGCCAUAAGAAACUUUCUAGCUAGAGACCAUCAGAGGGAGGUAGAAUUCCAGGUGUAGUGGUGAAAUGCGUAGAUAUCUGGAGGAAUACCAAUGGCGAAAGCAGCCUCCUGGGGUGGCUCUGACACUGAGGGACGAAAGCGUGGGUAGCAAACCGGAUUAGAUACCCGGGUAGUCCACGCUGUAAACGAUGAAUACUGGGUCUUCGGGGAAUCGACCCCUUGUGGACCGAAGCUAACGCGUUAAGUAUUCCGCCUGGGGAGUACGGUCGCAAGACUAAAACUCAAAGGAAUUGACGGGGGCCCGCACAAGCAGCGGAGCGUGUGGUUUAAUUCGAUGGUAAACGAAGAACCUUACCUAGGUUUGACAUAUAAGUGGUAGCGAUCCGAAAGGUGAACCACCCGCAAGGGAGCUUAUACAGGUGCUGCAUGGUUGUCGUCAGCUCGUGCCGUGAGGUGUUGGGUUAAGUCCCGCAACGAGCGCAACCCUCGUGGAUAGUUGUUUUCUUUAUCCAGACUGCUUUUAAAGAGGAAGGUGGGGACGACGUCAAAUCAUCAUGGCUCUUACACCUAGGGCUACACACACGCUACAAUGGAUAGUACAGACGGUUGCUAAGUCGCGAGAUGGAGCUAAUCCGAAAAAGCUAUCCCCAAUUGGAAUUGUAGGCUGAAACUCGCCUGCAUGAACGUGGAGUUGCUAGUAACCGCAGGUCAGAAUACUGCGGUGAAUACGUUCCCGGGCCUUGUACACA
rnacentral:rRNA from 1 species